UGGGGCCGUGAGGUAGCUUGGUCCAUCCUUCGGCGUCCGGGACGCCGACACCUGCGUUCAAAUCGCAGCGGCCCCAUC
rnacentral:tRNA from 1 species